UCGCCGCCUGCAUUGCUCCUACGAGCUGCUGCUGCCUUCUCAGAGCUGAAGUAUCCUCCAAGCAGCUGCCUACCCCCUCCUCCGCCCGCAACAGCACCUCUUCCCCCUCCUCCUCCUUUUAACACCUGGGGCGACUUGGGGCGAUUAAUCACGACGAUUCGCAGACUAAUCACAGCGAGCCACUAGUCGGAGGCAUGGCGACUCGACUUGGCUAGGCGACUCAAAAACCUUGCUUAACUCUCAUCUGAUUUCUCUAUUAACCUUCUAUGUUCACAUAGACAAAAAACUUAGAUCCUGGUUGCGUUGCUAUACUACAGCUUCACAUUUGAUAAUCACAAUCUAGAGAUUGAAAUUCAUGAAGUUGUCAAUUGCUUUCUGAAUGUUAUUUUAGAUGGUUUUCCUAAAUUCUGUUCUAGUUGUCAUAUUUAGAUAAUUUCUUCAAGGCUGCUCCGAGCGACAACGGGAGCGGAUCUGAAGGAGCCUCGGGCUCCUUCUCGACAACCACACACCGGCAGAGGAGUCAGGGCCCUUCUCCUUGGGAUGCCUCCAUGGACAGCAGCCGCAGCCAUGGAGCGCGUCAACAUCCCUCCUAGCGGCCAGAGGAGCAAGGCCAACAUCGGGAUUUGCCCACUGCAUCCUCUCUAGCGCUUCUAGUCACCGAGCGCUCGACUCUAUGGACGACGACUAGGACCCCAUGCCCAAGCUGGCGAGGAGGACAUCAUCUAGUCCAACCUGGACUACGACCACAAAGACACCCUGCACAAGUAAUCGAUGACCAACCCUGCCAAGUUAUCCAAAUAAGCAAUUCAUGGAUGGAGUCCAGCAGCUAAUCCAUCCAUCCAUCUCUAAGAAGAAGAAGCAGAAGAAUCAAAGAAGAUGGCGAUCCUCAUGGGUUCGUCGUCGGAGAAGAAGGGCCUCUUCUCUUCAUCAACGCCAAGAGCAACCACUGACCCAGAACUCAA